AUCAUACCCGAGUUCCUGCUGCUGAAAUGGGUAGCACUGAAGCCCCAACGCCUGUGCAGGCACCUGUGUGCUCCAUUGUGAACGAAGGCCCAGCAGCUCCAGCUGCUUGCUCCAUUGUGAACGAAGCCCCAGCUCCCUGGGCCUGACCUGUGCCAAAUGGCAAGCUGCUUGUCACCUGAACAAAGGGAGAAAAGGAAGAGGGAUGGAGAUGAUGAUGCCAUGGAUGUCUCAGAAAAUGGAAAUGGCGAGAGUUCUUCAUGCAGCAAGAAACCAAUAAGAACUGAACUUAGUUUUCUACCAUAUAGCUUCGUCAUUUCCCCAUAUGAAAUGGUCCCAUAAUCUAGUGCGUAUCUGUUUCUGGUUUGAAGUUCAUCUAGCAUUUGACGUGAUAUGUUGUCAUGAUUUAGUAUACAUACAUGGUGUGCCUUACCCUGUGUCAGCAUUAUGGGAGCUAAAAUUAAGUCUGCAUCAACCUCCCAAAUGUCAUGUUCUUCAUUUGCACACAAACUACAGUAUAUGCAUUGCACAUUCCAUAAUGGACACCGCGGAGGUGGUGCUCCUGCUGCUGCCUCCUGCUCCCCGCCGCCAACUCCUCCAUGGAUGCGGUGGCUGCCUGCUGCUGCUGCUGGUGAUGGUAGUCCGGCGACGACCUGCCUUCAACUUUUGUCUCACGUACACAGAUGCUGCAGUUUUAACUGAAUAAGCAACAGAAGUGCUCAACAUCCAUCAUGCAUAACCCUGAACAUUUAUGGUCUCUAUUGAUAUGUCUUGAUAAUUCUAGUUACUUUAUAUGAAGCAAAAGUUAUCUUGCAGCCAUCUAGUCACAUCUAAGUGUAAGUUAAGCAGGCAUGUUAAGGGUAACCUGUGAACACUUGCUUAUAAGAACGAACUUGACUUACUAUAUAUACCCAAGUGAAGAUGUACUGUUACUAAUUGACUAUGGCAAUGAAUUUUAUCUAUGUGAGAUUAUAAUUUGAGUGCCAUCAUUCAUCUCAUGGUAUCUUGUUCUCGGUGAUAAUUGUUCACUGUUGAGGGCAAUACAUAUACUCUAGUUUUCAUGCAGUGCAUGUUGUUCCAUAUUUUGAGGAGAACACCACCUGGAGACCGGUGUUCUGGAGACCGGUGUUCUGAGGAGACCGUGAUGCUUAAUUUCCGUUUGUUUGAUUGCAGAGAGGCGCUGGAAGAGCACUCCCCAUGCUUGUCUUGAGGAGAACACCACCUGGGACUUGGUGGCUGACAUUGAGAAGGUCAUGUUCGUCGGAUUGCAGGGCCAGUCUGACUCACCAACCAACCUCGCCUGCUUGCUCUGUUUAUUGUGCUACACCUCUUACUGAAUUCCAGUCGCUAUAUAUGAUUGCUUACCUGUAUAUAUGUACCACUCUAUGUGUAGCAUUUUUCUAACUGUACAAUAGCACUCACUCCUCUACUGUCAAAUUGCUUGUGUGUAGUUCAUUACCAUGCUAUCCAAGGGAUAUUCAUUUAUGUGCCUGUGAAUUCGUUCUUGGUGUGUAUGUAUGUAUAUGUGCUAGCAACAUGAGUAGGAAUUAGCAUCAUGCUCGGCCUCGAUGAAUUGCAUGCAUACAUUGAUCCAGGGAGAAGUGUAUGGCUGAUACAAUGCUCUUUUUCACAAAGCUAUUAUACACUUUGGGAAAUACAGUAAUUUGUUCUUUACUAAAUGCACUGUAAGUAUGGAUGCUGAUGCAUGCAUGCAUCUAGGGUGAGUCGUACCUAGUUGUUCUUUAUGCAUCUAGGGUUUGCUACUGCUAGCCUCGCCUCGCUUUUGCUACUGCUAGCUCUAUGGAUGUUUAUUUACCUGCAACUUCUGCUAGCUCUAACUUGGUUAUAUAGCAGUUCCAUUCAUUCAAUCUAUUGGAACUAGUUUGUCUACUACUUGUAUCCAGAUUUUAUAUCCUGCCCUAUGCCAUUGUCGACUUGCUUAGGUACAUAAUUGUUAUGUCUUGCAAUCUGGUAUUGAUGAUUGUCAAUUUAUUCAUUUAUACCUUUCUAGUGUACCUUGCAUGUGACCCAGCUAGUCUGUAUAUCAAUGCUCUGUUUCCAAUAGAUGUAUGCUGAUGCCUGAUGGCUGAUUCCUUAAAACUUCACUGUUGCAGUAGCAUUUUUCCUUAGUGCUUCAAACCUUGCUCUCUUUCCCAGGAACCAUCAUCGUCUGCGUCACUACUGGGGCAGGAGAGGAAAGACUGUUGUUGUCUCCAGGAACCGAUAAACUGCUUUACAAAGAUCCCCGCAUAGCUUCACUACUACUGUGUUGGUCCAUUUCCAGAAUUGUAAGGAUAAUGCUUUUGCUUAAGGAGAGGCUCAAGAAGAUCAGGGAGCUCCGCAUCCGAGUUUCAGCCAUCCUCUACAGCAAGGAGCUCCGGUCCAAAGGAGCAACCAACGCUGCUAGUUCCUUGAGGCCAGAUCGAGUAAGAUGGCGCACCAUGGCGUGUGGUGGCGUAUUUUGCUUCUGAGAACAAUACUGUUUAUUUGAAGUGAGAUGUACUAGUCUAUGUUGUAGUGAGCUGUAGUAGGAGUGAAAUGAAAAUGUAUCUGUUAUUGUAUGUACAUUUUACUUGAACAUUAAAUUCUCCAGAAAAAAUGUUCUUAUUGGACCUGAUA